rnacentral:lncRNA from 1 species
AGAGAGUCUGGAAGAAGCUAUUUUCUGAAGUUCCCUUAUCUGCCUAAAGUUUGGACCCCCCGCAAAGGAAAGAAAAAAACAAUUACCAUUGGUUCCUUCCCUGAGUUUUUAUUAAUGACUCAUACUGAAGGAAGAAAGACCUAAGUAUGGCAACACACCUGGACCAAUUUCUGUCACAAACCACUGUUUUCUGUUUCAGUCCCAUUCAGUAUUCCAAAGAGAAUCAUUUGGCAGACAUUAUCUGCUCUGCAGGCCCAACAAACUUUCUCCCAGACCAUUCUAUGUUCCCCAGGUCCAUUUAUUUUGCCCUAAAAUCAUUUACUAUUCCACAAGUGCUACAUUUUCCUCAUCUCCCCUCCCCUGUGAAGAAAGGCAUAUAAGCAUCUGUACCUCAUUGGGUUAUUGGGUAAUUGUUCUCCUACAAUCCCCCUGUGCUAUACAUAUUAAAGUAAAAUUUUUAUUAUGACUUUUCUGCCAUCAAUCUGCCUGCUGUCAGUUGAUUUUUAGUGAAUCUGCAGAUAGUGAAAGGGAAGCUUUCCCUUGGCCCCUACAG